GCGCGCAUGCGCGGCCGGAAAACGGGGCGGGAGGAAGGGAGUGCGUUUUCCUCUCAGGCGGCGCCAUUUUGUGCUCAGAGAAGCUACACCCGCCGGCGGUGUGUGGAAUAGGUGGCAGAGACGGGAAACCCGGGAUGGCGGAGACUCUGGCAGGGUCCGGUGACUCGGGUUCUGGCACAGCCGCUGUCGUCUCGGGCGCCUCAGAGGUCGGGACGCGGCGGCUCAGUGACUUGCGGGUGAUCGAUUUGCGGGCGGAGCUGAAGAAGCGGAACCUGGACACGGGCGGCAACAAGAGCGUCCUGAUGGAGCGGCUCAAGAAGGCGGUUAAGGAAGAAGGUCAAGAUCCUGAUGAAAUUGGCGUCGCGUUGGAAGCCACAAGCAAGAGGACGACAAAGAAAUGCGUUAAAGGACAAAAGACGGAGGAGGAAGGCACAGAAGACAAUGGCCUGGAAGAAGAUUCCAGAGACGGGCAGGAGGACAUGGAAGCAAGUUUGGAGAGUUUGCAGAAUAUUGACAUGAUGGACGUUAACGUGUUAGAAGAAACCGAAGUCGAGAAUAGCGGUGCUCCAGACUUCGGGGAGGAUGGCGCUGACAGCAUUCUCGAGUCCCUAUGCGAGAGCAAAGACUACGUGGCUGUGCAGCUGAGGGAGCUCCCAGCUCAGUUCACAGGACACUCUGUAGACGGGGAGGGCUUUGAGAACACUUUGGAUGCUUCAUCAUUGGACUUCAAAGUGCCUCCGGAUAUUGAAGAACCUCUAUUGGAGCCAGAAAAUGAGAAAAUACUCGACAUUUUGGGGGAAACUUGUAAAUCUGAGCCAGUAAAAGAAGAAGGUUCCGAGCUGGAGCAGCCAUUUGCACAGGAAACAAGUAGCGUGGGGCCAGACAGAAAGCUUGCGGAGGAAGAGGACCUUUUUGACAGCGCCCAUCCGGAGGAGGGUGAUUUAGAUUUGGCCAGCGAGUCAACAGCACAAGCUCAGUCGAGCAAGGCAGACACCCUGUUAGCGGUAGUGAAAAGGGAGCCCGUGGAGCAGACAGGCGAUGGCGAGAGGACGGACUGUGAGCCUGUAGGGCUAGAGAAGCCAGUUGAGCAGAGUAGUAAAGCCUCAGAGCACACGGAAGCCUGUAGCGAGGAGGCCUCGGAAGCGCCCCCGGAAGCCUCAAGCCCAGACCCCAGGGAUAGCAAAGAAGACGUGAAGAAGUUUGCUUUUGAAGCUUGUAAUGAAGUCCCUCCGGCUCCUAAAGAGUCCUCAGCCAGUGAGGGCGCUGAUCAGAAAAUGAGCUCUUUUAAGGAAGAAAAAGAUAUAAAGCCAAUCAUUAAAGAUGAAAAAGGUCGAAUCAGCAGUAGUUCUGGAAGGAAUCUGUGGGUCAGUGGACUGUCUUCCACAACUCGAGCGACAGAUCUGAAGAACCUUUUCAGCAAAUACGGAAAGGUUGUUGGAGCCAAAGUGGUGACCAAUGCCCGCAGUCCCGGGGCCCGAUGCUACGGGUUUGUCACCAUGUCAACGUCCGAUGAGGCCACAAAGUGUAUCAGCCAUCUCCACAGAACUGAGCUUCAUGGAAGAAUGAUCUCUGUUGAGAAGGCCAAAAACGAACCUGCUGGGAAAAAGCUGUCUGACAGAAAAGAAUGUGAAGUGAAGAAGGAAAAAUUGUCUAAUGUUGACAGACAUCAUUCUGUGGAGAUCAAAGUUGAAAAAACUGUAAUUAAGAAGGAAGAGAAGAUGGAGAAGAAGGAGGAAAGAAAACCUGAAAACAUUAAAAAGGAAGAAAAAGAUGAAGAUGAGCUGAAACCAGGAGCAGCCAAUCGGUCCCGAGUCACCAGAUCAGGAAGCAGAGGCAUGGAACGAACAGUUGUGAUGGAUAAAUCGAAAGGGGAGCCUGUCAUUAGUGUGAAAACCACAAGCAGGUCAAAGGAGAGAAGCUCAAAGAGUCAGGAUCGCAAAUCGGAAAGCAAAGAGAAGAGAGACAUCUUGUCCUUUGACAAAAUCAAAGAGCAAAGGGAACGAGAGCGCCAGAGGCAGCGGGAACGGGAAAUCCGAGAGACAGAGAGGCGGCGAGAGCGUGAGCAGCGUGAGAGGGAGCAGCGCCUCGACGCCCUCCACGAGGGGAAGGAGAAGGCUCGGCUGCAGCGGGAGCGCCUGCAGCUCGAGCGCCAGCGGCAACGGUUGGAGCGGGAGCGGCUGGAACGGGAGCGGCUGGAACGGGAGCGCGAGCGCGUGGAGCGGGAGCGCCGGAAGGAGCAGGAGCGCAUCCAGCGGGAGCGCGAGGAGCUGCGGCACCAGCAGGAGCAGUUGCGCUACGAGCAGGAGCGGCGGUCGGUGCUCAGGAGGCCCUACGACGUUGGGCGGCGAGAUGACGCCUAUUGGCCAGAGGGAAAGCGCAUGGCCAUGGAGGACAGAUAUCGCCCAGACUUCCCUCGGCCCGAUCACCGUUUCCACGACUUUGACCACCGUGACCGGGGCCAGUACCAGGAGCACGUGGCUGACAGGAGGGAAGGUUCAAGGUCAGUGAUGGGAGAGCGAGAUGGGCAGCACUACUCAGACGACCGCCACGGCCACGGAGGACCACCAGAGCGCCAUGGCCGCGACUCCCGAGACGGCUGGGGUGGCUACGGCUCCGACAAGAGAAUGAGCGAGGGCCGGGGGCUGCCUCCUCCCCCCAGGUAAUCUGUGUUGGAGGAUGCGGAGCCAUGACCGAGGGGACCAGAGGUGCUGGCUGAAGAAGCAAGCUGGGGGUGGUGGGGGACAUCUCCCGGGAGCCUUGACCUCACUCUGGGUUCUGGGCUUCCAGCAUAGAUGGUGAAACACUGGCCUGCCCAGCUGCUGCCCACUGCCUGGGACAUUCCUGAUGGAGCCCCAGUCCCUGACACUGACCUAGGAUGUUGCUACUCCGGGCCAGCCAGCCUUCCAGCUGUGCUGUGUGAUCCUGAGGAGGUGGCUCCCACCUUGGGGCUUCAAGUGCCCAGUCUGCAGUAGGAGCCACGUGCCAUCUUGGGAGGCAGCUGGAGGAGGUCACAUGAAGAAAAGCACAGAGGGGAGAGGAGCUUGGGGGGGCAUCACCCCCACCUGCCUGGUACAUUCUCUCUGCCACGCCUCUACCCAAGCUGUGCCCCCAGCCUGAAGCACCUUUCACACCCCUCUCUGCAGCUCCAGUCCACCCAGCAUUCCAGCCUCCUCUAGGAAGUCUUCUCAGAUUCCCUCCUCCCCAGCCAGUGAGCACCUUGUCCUCUUUUGGGCCCCCUCAAGCCUCCUCUACUGUGAACAGCUUUGGCUGGGGGCAGGGGGUGUGUGGCCAGACACUCAUGACAUCUCAAAUGACUAAAGGUGGAGACUGGGGGGCCCCAACCCUCUCCCAACGCUCCAGUGUCACACUGCACCCCUCCCCCAAACCCAAACCCAAACCCCUCCCCACGUUGCACCCGUGUCCACCCCCGUGGCGGUGUCCUUCCUGUUCAAUCCCACUGCUUUGCCCCCUGCACGGGGUCUCCUGGUUGUGUCUGAAGGGCUCUGGUUAAGUGGGCAGGGAUUUGGUGGGGGGCGGUGGCUGUGCCUGGCAGAGCACUGAGACAUUGACGGUAAUCAUGGGGGUACUCCGGGCUAUUCCAGGCAGUGUGUUGUAGGGAUUCUGGGUAUAAGACCCUCUGAGUAGGGAAUUCCAUGGCAGUCCAGAGGUUAGGACCCUGCACUUCCACUGCUGGGGUUCGAUCCCUGGUCGGGGAACUAAGAUUCCACGUGGCGCAGCCAAAAAAAAAAAAAGUAGAACGUUGGGACUCAGUUGGAUCUCUGAUCUGCGGCCACGAGGCGUCGGGUCCACCGUGCAGACCCCCUCGGGUUGGGGGGAUGCUGGCAUGCGGGCCCUCGAGGGCCGCGUUCACGCUCUGGGUGCUGGCAUCACAGGGCAGAGGCUCGGGAGCCUGGGAAGACAUAAUGUUUUAGUUAAGAGUCGUGUUGGCCGCAGGGCCCAGAGCAGGGACAGGUGGAUAAUAAAUCGUGGCCGUGGGGAGAGUAGUGCUCAGAUGUGCGUUUGUCCAUCAGGGGAUGGGGACGACCCCAGGCCUACGGGGCUUUUCUCACGUCCCCCUCCGGGGCUGGCAUCACUCCUCCUGGGGCCAGGCAGCCCACGCCCCUGCUCCUGCCUGGUUUUGGUCUCGGUGGGUCACGCACACACUGGGGGACCUGCCCCCAGGGCCCAGCAGGAAAGUGGGGCUUUUAAUAGCCACCCCAGCUCCAUUCCUCAGCUCCCACUACAUGCCAGGGUUUGUGCCACAUCCUUGUCUGGCCUCCACUUACUCUAGUCUGUGAAGUGUGAGGCUCGGUGGUGGUGGUGAUGAUUAUGGCCCAUUUUACAGAUGGGGCAUCCAAGGUCACCCUGCCCCCUCUAGUCUGCUGCCCUGGCAACCCUUGAACUGAGGGGUCCCCAGCCCAUGAGCAGGUCCCUGAUAGAGGAAGGGGGAGGGUUUCCCACAUCUUGGCUGAGGUGAGGGUGGGAGAAAGCAUUUUCAGGCCUUUUUGACAUUUAACAAACAGUAUGCAAAUCACAUGCAAAUCGCAUGCAAAUCAUCACCCAUUUCUUAAGCCUCAACAGCUUCGGUGUGUUCUGAAAUAAUAAUGUUGGACUUGUCCCUUGGUAUUGGCUUGGAGGAGGGGUGCAAAGUUUUUCCCUUCCUCCCUUCCUUCCCCUUCCCUUCUGUUUUCUUUCCUUCCUCCCUCCCUUUCUUCCCUCCUCCCUUCCUUUCUUCCUGUUAUCUCUUUGCUCCCUUCACAUUGUUUUUUGGAGGCUUCCCAGUUCUAAGAUGAAUACAAACAGCAAAAGUGGCUUCCAGCGUUCCCAUUUUCCACAUGGGGAAACUGAGGCACUGAGAGGCACAAGCCUGGACUGAGAUACCAGAGACACAUUGUGGAAGGCAUCCGCCACCAAGUGUCAUCAUGGACCAAAGUGGACAGUACCUGUGACCCAAGGAGGAGAGAUGACAGUGGCUGGACCAGGCCUAACAGGGCUUGGAGGAGCCAAGGGGAAGAGUUCUUGGGUUUCUUGGCCUAGAAUGGCAGGCUGCCAUGCUUGGAUCUGGAGAAAUCUGACACUGAGUGAUCUUACUCCUCAAGUCCUUCUUUGUCUUGCUACUCCAUCAUCAUGUUCUUUGAAUUUGGGCCACAGCCUCUGCUCAGUUUGCAUGCCCUACCUUUUCUGUUUGCAAACUCCUAUUCAUCCUUCCAAGCCCCAGCUCCAGUGCCCCCUUCUUCAAUGCAGACAUUUCUGAUCCUCCAGAAGAGCUUCCACUUCCCUCUGGGCUUCUGUUACCCCAGAUCUCUCUCUCUCUCUCUCUCUCUCUCUCUCUCUCUGGUCCAACCCUGACCCUUUUGGAGACAGCAGCAUUACUGGCCAAUCUGGCUUGUUUCCAGCACUUGUGUGAUUAUCACACACCUCCAGACUUUUGUAUUCUCUGCGCAGAAUGUCCUUUUGGGUCUUUUUCACCUGGAAUAGUCCUACAUUUUCAAGGUCGUGGCACUAAUACCCCACCUCCAUGUGGGCUCGACAGCUCUCUCCCAGUCGGCCUCUGGGUCCUGCAGCCUCCAUCCCUUCAUCCCUGACGCACAGAAUGGGGAGGUCUGUGUGUCCUCCCAGUCUUAGGAGUUGCCUCUGGGGCUCCAGGAUCACCUAGGCUGGGAUUGCAGGGUGAUCCUGUAGUACAGUACAAAUUCAGUACAGAGGGACUGAAUUUGAGUAGGUACGGAAUAAAAGACUAAGUGUUUGGAAA